UAUCUCUGGUCUUUGCUUAAGCACAUCCUGUGUGUGGUUUGCGUGCUUUCAGAGAGAGAGGAAGGCCCUUCCAAUGCAUGACAGAC
ensembl:snoRNA